CAGCAGCCACGGUAAUACGUAGGGUGCAAGCGUUAAUCGGAAUUACUGGGCGUAAAGCGCACGCAGGCGGUUUGUUAAGUCAGAUGUGAAACCCCCGAGCUUAACUUGGGAACUGCAUUUGAAACUGGCAAGCUAGAGUCUUGUAGAGGGGGGUAGAAUUCCAGGUGUAGCGGUGAAAUGCGUAGAGAUCUGGAGGAAUACCGGUGGCGAAGGCGGCCCCCUGGACAAAGACUGACGCUCAGGUGCGAAAGCGUGGGGAGCAAACAGGAUUAGAUACCCGGGUAGUCCCUGUCUCUUAUAC
rnacentral:rRNA from 1 species